rnacentral:rRNA from 1 species
GAUGAACGCUGGCGGCGUGCCUAAUACAUGCAAGUCGAGCGAACAGACGAGGAGCUUGCUCCUCUGACGUUAGCGGCGGACGGGUGAGUAACACGUGGAUAACCUACCUAUAAGACUGGGAUAACUUCGGGAAACCGGAGCUAAUACCGGAUAAUAUAUUGAACCGCAUGGUUCAAUAGCGAAAGACGGUUUUGCUGUCACUUAUAGAUGGAUCCGCGCCGCAUUAGCUAGUUGGUAAGGUAACGGCUUACCAAGGCAACGAUGCGUAGCCGACCUGAGAGGGUGAUCGGCCACACUGGAACUGAGACACGGUCCAGACUCCUACGGGAGGCAGCAGUAGGGAAUCUGCCGCAAUGGGCGAAAGCCUGACGGAGCAACGCCGCGUGAGUGAUGAAGGUCUUCGGAUCGUAAAACGCUGUUAUUAGGGAAGAACAAAUGUGUAAGUAACUAUGCACGUCUGGACGGUACCUAAUCAGAAAGCCACGGCUAACUACGU